rnacentral:rRNA from 1 species
GACGAACGCUGGCGGCGUGCCUAAUACAUGCAAGUUGAGCGCUGAAGGUUGGUACUUGUACCAACUGGAUGAGCAGCGAACGGGUGAGUAACGCGUGGGGAAUCUGCCUUUGAGCGGGGGACAACAUUUGGAAACGAAUGCUAAUACCGCAUAAAAACUUUAAACACAAGUUUUAAGUUUGAAAGAUGCAAUUGCAUCACUCAAAGAUGAUCCCGCGUUGUAUUAGCUAGUUGGUGAGGUAAAGGCUCACCAAGGCGAUGAUACAUAGCCGACCUGAGAGGGUGAGCGGCCACAUUGGGACUGAGACACGGCCCAAACUCCUACGGGAGGCAGCAGUAGGGAAUCUUCGGCAAUGGACGAAAGUCUGACCGAGCAACGCCGCGUGAGUGAAGAAGGUUUUCGGAUCGUAAAACUCUGUUGGUAGAGGAGAACGUUGGUGAGAGUGGAAAGCUCAUCAAGUGACGGUAACUACCCAGAAAGGGACGGCUAACUACGUG